GAGCGACUGCAAAGAGUUCACUGAAAAAAAAACACCUCUGUGAUCCCUGUCUGUACCACAGAUGCAAAUAUUUCCUUCUUAGACAAGGUAUCAUUUCAUAGGCUUGCCUGGUUUAAUGCACACUUCUUUGCCUCAGGUAAGAUUUCUUUCAUCUCUGCUGCCCUUCGGUGACUUGUUGCACCUGAUGUCCUCUCCUAAGCAUGUGCUUUUCUGCAAACAAAGAAGAGAAUCAUGGAUGCAAAUUCUGCUAACAACAGUUCAACCACAGCUGCCUUAGCCUGCAGCUUUUCCUUGUGUCCUUGUGAACAGCUCAAACUUCCACUAAAACUGACAAAAGCAGCAAUGAAGAAAAGAGGGGCAGACACAAGACUAGAGCUGAUGGCACAGGAGUAUUAGGGGGGGUCACAGAAAUAGCCCUGGCAGGUGCCAUACUGGGCUGAGACUAAUGUCAACAGAAGCAAAAGAAGUUCUUAAAUGUGAAGCAAGAUUUCUGCAGGUCGAGAAGCAUGGCGGAGAAGAGUAAAAAUGUGGCUCUACAUAGAAAAAAGUGUGAAUCAGCAAUGAAGAAGAGAAAGGGAAGUGGCAAGCAAAAGGAACAAAGAAAAGGACAGCAUCUGCUAUGAUAAAGAAUGAUCUGGUGAGAAACAUUAUUAAGUGAUAGAAAAGAUUAUGGUCUCAAAAAGGAACAGGAAAAAAAAAAAUAAACCAAGCCCAAGCACAAAUGUACACCAAAAAGAGAACGUUCCCUUAGGAGGUCUGAAAUAUCCUCCAGACACAGGCACAAAAAGCCUGAUGUCUGGAGCCCACUCACUGCUGCAGGCAGAAAGCUCUCCAAUUACAGUCCCCACCAUUAGAAAAGAAUCAUCUUGAAACAAAACCAUACCAAGGUCCUUUAAUUACAUUAAACUAAAACACACAGUACAAGCCAUACCAUAAAUUUCACUACUAAUGUUCAAAUAAAUAUUAUAUUGUUUUGGAAUGCAUUUUUGAAGUUUCUUUUUUCUUUUUUAUAUCAAAUUAUAAUGGUCCUUUGUUAAGAUUGGAGCCUGAGUAAUGAAUAUUUGCCUUCCAGACAUCAUCU